UUUUUCUUCUUUUUUUUUAAGGAGAAUGAGUGAUUUGUGAUUUAUAAUCUCUACCGUUUGGUUCAGGUAUAAGCAAGAACUAGCUAUUACAGGGAUAUGUACAAGUAUGGGGAUAAGAAAAAUAGCGUUUGGAUGAAAAUUGGAUUAUUUCCGAGGAUAAAAAAAAUAGCGUUUGGAUAGAUAAUAUGAAAUAAAAAAAAUAUUAGGUAGUUUUAUAUAGAAAAUGGAGGUGUUAGUGGGGAUAGUUCUAAUCGAUUAUUAUAGGUAACCGAGAACUACUGUUCUCGACUAAAAACUUAGUGUUUGGAUAUAAAGGGGGAUAAAAGCCUAGCCCUAUUUCUAUCCUCUAACCAAACACAAAAAUAUAAGGCUCUGGUUGAGAUUGCAAAAAGAGUGCUUUAUAUGUCAUGAGAAAGUGUAAUUAAAAAAAUAUUAUAAAUUACAAACCAAUUGUGGAGAAGGAAUUUGCUUUUAUUAGAUUUUAUUUUUCGCUCGCUUAAUAACAUUAAAUAGCCUUCAAUACCAAACGGGUCCGAAACUAGAACCUAGCUUAUCUUAGUUUAUUCACUCCAAUAGAAUUGGUUCGGUUUAUUGAUUUCCCAACCCGAGUUAGAUUAGGCCUACUUUACUGCAUUGGGUCAGGUCUUAAAAUAUAUGGAUGUUAUUUUUCUGGGAGUGAGACUGGUAUGCUUCUAAAAAUAUGAAAUCAUUCGUAAAUAUAUGGAUGUUAUUUUUAAGAUGUCUAUGAAUAGGACAUCGGAAUUAUAAAAUUUUAUAUUUAUUUUAUGAGAAAUGAUUCGGUACUUUUUUUUAAAAAAAAAUAAAAAAGAUCUUAACCGUUGAUUAAUAGAGGGUAAAAAUGUAACUUUAAUACUUAGCAGGUAAAAGGAUUAUUUUAUUCAAGGUUAGUUUGGUAAUUAAAUAAUACAAUAUUUAAAGAAACUUUUAAUUGAGAUCCUAAAUUUAUGCAUUAAUUAGUACUAAUUUAGGAAAUUAAUUGAUUAACCAAAUUUAUGAAAUUAUUAGGCAUUAAUUUAGGAAUCUACUUUAAAUGUUUUAGUGUUUCUCAAAUUAUGCAUUAAUUUAAAUUAUAGAAAUUUUAGAAAUAGUUUUAUUUCUAAAUACGAUGAAUUUAAAUUUUAAAAAUUAAAUACUUAAAAUUUAAAAGUGAAAUUUAAAUUAGAGGAAUUUCAUAUUACUAUUUAAAAACUAAAUUUCUACCAAGAUUUAAAAUACAGUUUAUUCGCACCAGUUUAAAACGUAAUGCAUAAAAAACUUAGAGAGUAAGAUUUCUACAACUAGAUUUCUCUAGAGGAAUUUCAUAUUACUAUUUAAAUUUUAAAUUCAAUGAUUUAAAAACUAGAUUGAACCGAUUGAUUUGACUGAUCAGACUUUGACCUAUUCUAUCAAGAAUCUGAUUUUAACCUAUUGAACCGAAUAACAUUAAGAACAAUUUGGAACCGGUAAAGAUAAUAAAUAUUUUAAACAGAAUGAUAAUUUAACUGUUAGAGCUAAUAAAUAUUUUAAAUAUAAUUUUAAACAUAUAAAUUAAAAAGAUUAGAAUUAUUGGUGAGAAAAAAAAUAGUUAGGAAUUUGAAUUCGAAUCUGACUAACAAUCACAAAACUUAUUUCCGAACUCGACGGAUUUCAAAAAUCCAUAUCCAAAUUCAAAACUGACCAAUUUUUCGAAACCCAAAAUCAAACCUAAACCAGAAGACUAGAAUUCAAACAAUUAUUUCUGUUUACCAUAUUUCAAAGUAUUUAUAUGAAACUUAAAUUUUUAAAAUAUAAAUUUGAAUAUAAUAUUAAAUUUUAAAUUUAAAAGUGAAAUUUAAAUUAGAGAAAUUUUAUAUUACUAUUUAAAGUUUAAAUUCAAUGAUCAUAUUGUCAAAUCAUUUGAAAUUUUCCUUAUAUGAAAUGCCAAAUUAUGAAAGGAAAGAUAGAGAGAGCAAAAGGAAACAAAGAAAAAAUAAAAAUUUUGAAAAUAUAGUAGAUGUAAAAUGACUAAAUUGCCCAUGUAUUAAAAGACAAAAAUAUCCUUUUUUGAGGUACCUGGUAACCGGUACCUCUCCCAAAGUGACCUGCUAUUGUAGGUCACAAUUUAAAAAAAAACUAAAUCUGAGUCGUUGAAUACGCGUGAAUGAACGAUAACCAAAAAAAAAAAGUAUAGAAGCAUUACUCUUAUUUUAUUGUAUAAAUCAAACAUGGUAGAAAUUAAAAAUUUAAAUAGAAUUUUAUAACCUCUUAAACCAUAGAAUUUAAAAACAUACCUCAUCCCUUAGUAUUUUUAUUUUCAAAAAAAAAAAAUUUUAAAACACUAAAAAAUAUAUAUAUUUUUGUAAAUUUUAUAUCUAUUCCAACAUUUAAAUUAAAAAUAAGGUGUUAUCUUAAUUAUUGUCAUCUUAUCAAUUAGAACACUGCCAAAUUACUCCCACAUUGGCGAAGCAUCAGCUUUUAGUAAACUAAAUUAUAUGAUAAGAUUUAAUGUAAUAAUUUAGAAAGUUUAAGUCAAAAAUUAUAAUAAAUUAAAGUUUGAGAACCAAAAUGUCGUAGACCUCAUAGUUUCAGGAGCAAAAGUGUAUUUUUAUGCUUUAGACUUAUUCAUAAGCAGGACUAGUUAAAAAAAAGCACUCACAACUUCUCCUUUGAUAAAAUCUCGAUACAGCAAAGCUCCUACUUUUAGAUCUCAAAAGUUUAUUUCUCUUCAACUUCUGGACAUUAUCGAAAUCUUCUUGCUUUGAAGAAAGUCUAUUUUAGAAGUCAGGCCAAACGGCACUGCAACAUCGCCCAGCCCAUCAGCUGGACUAUUUGCUAGCUACCAAAUUAUAUUUCCCGCUUCAUUGAAUCAGUACAUCUGUGUGGCUUAACUGGAGCUUCUGUAAAUAUACUGUUAAGAGUAAAUUAUACUUUUGGCCCUCAAACUAUAAGGCCGGUGAUAUUGCGGUCCGUAGAUUUUAAUUCGUUAUAAUUUUUUACUCGAACUUUCUGAAUUGUUACAAUCAAGUCCCAUGAUUAGGUUAAACAUCUACAAAUCAUUGAAGUAGAUCGCUUCUAUCUAUAUCAUUAAUUUGUUAAUAUGUAGCCCGCUAACGGCAGGGGUAUAUUUGAAAACAUUAAGACCUUUGCAAGAAGAACAUAAAAAAGUUGAGUUUUGCAUGAAUAUACUUAUAAUUCGCUAUGUUUAUAGGGAGCUAUUUGCAAUUAAUCCUUUUUUUAUUUGUUGUGCAUCAAUACACACACACACACACACACGCACGCACACACAACGCUUGGAUGCAGGCGAAACCCGGUCCGUUUGAGUGCAGGCCUGCAGGCCCGGCCCGCUGCGUUGUGGGCGUGGGGAACGCCCCUUCCCUGUGGGUGGGUUGGUCCGGCCCGUUGGGCAGCGGGCGUGGGGGCCCGGCCUGGCCCUGUUUAGGGCUGUCAAUAGGUAUGGAUACCCGAAAUUUUAUUCGAACCCGAAUCCAAACAGAGGGAAUUUACUCGAUACUAAAUGAAUAUGGUUUCGAAUAAAAAUAUAAAAAAUAAAAACUAGACGGAUAUGGAUACGGAUAUGAAUUUUGAUUGUACCCGACCCAAACCCAAACCCGAACCCGAACCCGAACUUGACUCGAAUCGAAUCUGAAUUUUACAUUAUAUAUAACAUGUAUAUAAAAAUUUGAUAUUAUAUUCGAAUUUGUAUCUUAAAAAUUUAGAUUUAAUGUAACAUAUUUUGAAAUAUUUGAAAGAGAAAUAAUUGUUUCGGAUUUGGAUUUUCGGGUUCAGGUUUUUGAAAAUCCGUCCCAAAUCCGAUCCGUUGACAUCCCUAGCACUGCCGGCACGUGGGCCCGGCCAGCUCGGCUGCAAGCCUUGAUGAUCCGGCCUGCUACGGUGAGUAUCUCAGAUGCAUCGAAAGAUACGAUCAUCAAUUUUGAAAAAUUAAAUCAGUAACUAAAUGUCAUACUAUAGAAGUUAACCUUUUGACUUUAUUUUGGUGUGCUCCAAGAAAUUCCUAGUAUAAUUCUUAUCACUUAUUAAGUUGCAAUAGCACUAUAGAGUAUAGACACAAAAAUAAAAACAAAAAGAAAAAGAAUGAUUGUGAAAAAUCUACUUUCAAAGCCUAUUUUGUGAGUUGAAAUGAUUGUUUGAGUUCUUCCCCACCCCACCCCACCCCGCCCUUUUUUUUGGCUUCUGGGAAUAGAUUCAGUGCGAGUUGAAUUUUAUUAUAUUUUUGUCCAACAUAUUAGUAACAAGGAGUUUUUCAACGCCCCGUCAAGAACUUAGAAAAAUUCUAUGGCAGUCCGGUCCCUGGCCAAACUCUGUUAGCGAAAAUUGGUUGAAUCAGAUUGUCAAGAAGAUCCAUACCCAACAUGCUGUGAAAAAUUCAAGGGUUGCAAAACUGUCAUGAGUUAUGGUGUGACUUUUGGGCUUUUGGCUAUUAUGAGGGCUCAUUAUGAGUAGGUUAGUGAAUGAAUUAUGUGGCUAGAUUUAUUGUAUCCAUAGGCUUAUAAAUAGUGGGGUUUGGCUAAGACCAAAACACACGAGAGGGAGUGUCUAUGUAUGCUAUAAUCUCUUUUUCUAAGUAGUGAAGUAUUUAGUUUUUUUUUUUAGUAAACCUCUGCCUCUCUCUCUUGUGUCUUUCUUUUGCAUAUUUAGUCGUAGGACGCGAAGGUCUGGACUAGCAACAGGGACGAAGGCCUGCUCAUCUUCGAGCAGGAAGGCGAGCACCGCACGGGCUUUGCGAACAAAAAUGCUCAGACCGUGACAGCCCGCUCUAUUUUUUAACAGAUUGGAGUAGAUUUAAAACAGAUUAUUUUUUUCUUAUUUUUGGCUUAUACUUACGGCCUUAUUUGAGACAGAUCGCGACAGGAUUUUCAGGGCACUAAAUAACUCUAUCCAUAAAUCACUGUAGAUCACAAUUUUGACUAAGUAACUCUAUCCACUAGUCACUGUGGAUCACAAUUUUGCCUCAAAAUUGUAGGGCACUAAAUAAGGUGGAGAGUUUAACACACAAACUGAUGCAAAUGAAAAAUAUCAUAUGAUAAUUAUGCACCUUUUUCAACGCAGCAUGAGUUAUUUUAGAACUAAGCUACUAAGUUUUUAUUCAAAUGAAAGUGACAUGUCAAAGUUUCAAUUUAAACCUUUAUAAAUCCUCACAUUAGUCCACACCAAGUUUCAAUAUCUUUUAUGGAUCAAAACUAUUAAUCUUUUGGAUAAUAUAGUAUGAGAGUUUUGUUCCUACUAAUUUAUGACUCAGUUUCUUUUUGAUUUACCCCUAUUCAAAUUUAGUUUUUGCUUGAUUUUCAACUUUUUCUUUUCAGUUCUUUCAUAAUCUUUCAAGUUGAUUUAGACUUAUUAUUGAAUGCAAAUUAGAAUCCUGAUUUUAUUAUUAACUUUUUUAUAUAAUGAGGAGGGUUUCUCUGCCUAUAUACCAACUUACUUUUUUGGGUUCUACUCAAGCUUUUUUAUAUGGAAUCGCGAGAGUAUUUUGCAUUAUAAUCUAACUAGGUUAAAUCCUCAUCUCUUAUUUUAUCGGUCAAUCUUAAAUGCCUUUUCAUAAAUUAGGAUAAUUGCCUAUAUACCCUUCAUAUGUUUGAAAAUAUCCGAUUUACUCCAACUUUUUUUUUUCUUUCUAAAAUACUCCUCAUAUGUUCUACCGUUAUUGCAAAAUACUCUCGCAGUUAUCUCCUGUUAACUGUUAAGUUAACUUAGGUUAAACGUGAGUUAAAUAUCAACCACAGUUAAAAAAAAUUAAAAUGCCAAUUUUUCCCUUAAUUUAAGGGCAAAUAAAAAAUGUUGGUGACAGUAGAAGGGUAUAUUUGAAAAAAUCAAAAGUCAAAAUACUUUUUGUGUCUCUGACUUUGCAAAUAAGAAAGUCAGUGAUGGUGGAGGAGUAAAUUUGAAAGGGCAAAAUAGUAAUUUUACAGAGAUAACAUAGUUCAUUAACAGAUUUUAACUCUAGAUGUAUAUUAGAAAUAGGUUGGAACGUAGAAAGAAUAUUUUCAAUAUUAGCCUUCUAAGAGGGGUAAAUUGAAAAGUGAAAAAUUUUUCAGGAGUAUAUAAGCAAUUGCCCCUUCAUAAAUAAAUGUAAAGACUCAACUAUAUGCUACUAGCUAUAAUUAGUAAUUUACUUAAAUGAUCCUGCUUUGCUCGGUUUAUCAUAUAUGAAGGUAAAUUAUUCUUUUGAUUAGUUGGAUUAUAAUUAGGGGUGAAAGUGGUUAGGAUAAACUCUGUUCGAAUCCGACACCAGAUUCGAUAGGAAGCGAGUAUGAAUGUCAAAAAUUUAGCAUUAGACCGAUAUUUGUAUCCAAAUUCAAAUUCGAGAAAAAAUAAAAAAGAAUGUGGAUGCGAAUAUGAUUUCUUAAAAACUUGACUAUUUUUAUCGAGAUAAGAGGAAUGAUAAUUUAUAUCUUAUGUCACGCCCCGGAUUACUUAUUUUUCCUGGCACGUUAACAGACCCGUCGUAUAUAUAGAAAUUUUUUCUGUAUACGAAGCGAAAGAUGUAUCUGUAGCUGUAAUCAUACAACAUUACAACAAGUAGUAUAGAGCUGCUAAAACUAAAGCAUAUAUAAAUAACACCGGUUCAACAUACAUACAUAUAUAGUAUCCAGAUACAAAAAUACUCGCUCCAGCAUGUUAUAAUAUCUGUAAGUAAAAGAACCCAAAAAUUACAACUAUCUGUAGCUGGUACUCCUCUAGCUCUGCAGCAAAACUGGAAGAGCUCUAACUCGCAAUACCCUUUCCACGAUCAGUCUCAGCAGUAGCAGCAGCCGUAACAGAAGGCUCAGCAAAAAGUCACCAACUGGGUGUGAGAAUUACUGCAAAAAGAAGUAGUCCUCAGUGGGUACCAUUAUUGACCUCAACGGCUCGCCCACUAACUCUACAGAAUGAAAUUUUACUGAUAGUAAAGAAACUGGAAACAAUCUAUAGGUAUAUGUCACUAUACUAUCAUAAUUCAACACUAACUAUUUGCAGAAUAAUGCAAUAUCUGACCUAAUCUCACUAGGAACUGUGAAUACACCCGUCCUGCCUGUCGAAACUACAAUAACUGCCACCACGCUAGGUCGUCUGCCACUACGCUAGGUCGUCAGUGGAAAGCAAGUUCAAACAGGACAAACCGACAUCAACGCAAAAACACUAAGCCAAACUCCGGAGUGGCACUCGUGGGCGCUACCCAACCGAGUAUGCAAGUGUGUCUCUAUCGAGCUCAAUCAGACUUUCACAGGCUAUAGUCAAAACAAAAUGGUCAAACUAUCAAAACUCACGUGCUCUCGGCACAAUCUGAUGCAAAAACAGCAAACUGGGUCCACCGUCAAUCUCCAUGGCACCCGACAGUCCGGAACAAGCUAAACACUACUGUAAAAAUAAGCUCGACAUCCCAGCAGGAGCGUAAAUGCAUUCUACACUAUUCUGGAUAUCCACCGCCUACAAACUGCGGCGAUACAAAUAAACUACGGCUCCUAGAGCUAAAUCUGGUAGUUUCAGAAUAUGACGGUAUAGAAUCGAUAGUUUUCUCCUAAUUCAAUUCUAAGUCCAACAUGUAUAAUUUAGCUAAUAUUUUAAACUCCAAUUCAGAUUUAAAAGCAUGCAAAUCCAAAAAUCGAGCUACUAAAUAUACUAAACAGAGCUAAAAACACAUGCUGUCAAUGGAUAGAAUUAGAAGAAAAUCCGUAUAAUCCGGUAAGUAUAACAUUAAUCCACCUCGAAUGCUAAUCCCCAACGGCAAAAGUCGAUAGGAGAAGAAAUUCUGCGCUCUCCCGGCCUCCAACGACGCUACACGACACACGUAGGCUGAACCGCCUCUCCGGCGCGAAGUCAACGUCGAUCCAAACUCCAACCGUGACCUCCGCCAUGUAUGGCUCAAGCUAGAGAGAGAGAAAAUUAGAGAAGUGAAAUUCUUCAGCUAAUUAAGUUGAUAUGUGUACUCAUAAAUAGAGUUGAUAAGCAUAGGGGUAGGUAGAAUCCUUAUCUACCACAAAAAUGACCAUCCUACCUUCACGAACUCAAACCAAGAAUACUACAUCUUAGGAGGAUAAAAUAGUUUUCUAAAUAUUUUUUAUUAAUUUUACUAUGAAUUUUAUUUUAAAAUUAUUUUUAUAUUUGUUAAAAUAUUAAAAUUUAUUAAACAAAAUAUAAGUAUGCGAAAUUUGAACAUGGGUGUAAACUUUUAAUUACAUUGUAUUUCUUAUUUGCUGUGGCGGCGCCCCAUUUUUUAGGGGGUCAUCUAAUCGAAAACUAUUCUAUUUCUAGCAUGCUUAACCCAUCUUAACUUCUUGGACAUGGCUGCCACUCAAAAUUUAUAGUCGGAUUAAGAGGUUUAAUCAUAUUAUAUCUUAUAUAUAGAAUUAUUCGAAAUUCUGGAGUGUCACGUUUACUCUAAUUAAUCUUAGUAUAUUUUUACAUAUGCAUAUAGAAUAUAUCAUUAUUCAGAUACAAAUCCAACUCACAUCUGAAUUCGAAUAUGUUUUAAACAGGUAUGGUAAUGAAAAUUUAGUACCGACAUACAUUCGGACCCAAAUUUGUAUAUGAAGAAAAAUAUGGCUGCGAAAAUAAUUUUAUUAAAAAUCCGAGUUUUUCACCCCUAAUUGUAAUCGUCUUUUUUUUUUUUUUUUUAGAGAUAGGUAGCACGCUACCCGCUUCGUUUAUUUCAUUUAGAAAUAAACUUAACUGUAAAUGUGAAUCAACUAGGAUUCGAACUUAGAUCUCGGAUGCCAACCACCAAACCCUUUGUCACUUGCUCUAGGGACGGUCGGUAAUUAGCUGCUUCAUCAGUAUUUAUUCCCAUAUAUAUAUAUAUAUAUAUAUAUAUAUAUAUAUAUAUAUAUAUAUAUAUAUAUAUAUAGUCACAGGUGACAAUGGGUUAAUCGAAUUUAUCUUGUUUAUUUGGCUCAUAAAAUUGGUGCAUGCCCAAUAAAUGCUAGGAUUACACUGGGACAAUAUUAUAUAUUAGCAUUAAACUUGCUAAAUCUUAUGUCUCUAUAAAAACUAGGCAACAAUCUUGGGUUUACAUCAAUCAUAGAUCCAAAAGCCAAAGACCUAAUUAAUUUUGGUAUUAAGUAGCAUCAACAUUAUUAAUGAGAUUCACUUCAAACUCCCACAUGGGCCUAAUUAAUAAUAUCCAACACUUAAUUUGUACGUACCACUAGCUAUAUAGAGAAAAAAAAAAAGUAUUGGUUGGAACUAGUUUAAAAACGAUGAUGAUAAAUCUAGCACAUAUAUAGUUGAGGUGAUAAAGCUUUAGUUUUUUUAGCUAAAUCGAGUUCUCUAACGCCGUAUCACAAAACUAGGAUUUCGAAUAAGCAGUCACAUGCGCAUCAUUUUCUUUUCUUAUAACUUAAUUUUUUGUUGAAUUGGUUUCGAUUUCUUAAUUAAAGCUAGCGUUAUAUCAGAAUUGAUUUGAUUGAAGCACUCAAGUCAAAAAAUUCAACUAGACUCUUAAUUUUUCUUAAUUUUUUUUUAUAUGAAUGAGUGAGUGUGUAUAUAUAUAUAUAUAUAUAUAUAUGAGUGAGGCUACUAUGCUAUCGGAAGCACGGAGCCUUCCGUGCUUUAGGGUUUAGGGUUUAGGGUUUAGGGUUUAGGGUUUAUCGGAAGCACGGAGCCUUCCGUGCUUCCAGCUCAUUUUCGAUGUUGCGAUUUUCGAAUCAUCGAUCGGCUCCGUUAAACUUGAUUUAGAGUACCAGCUCAUUUUUCAUGUUGCGACUUUCGAAUCGUCGAUCGGCUCCGUUAAACUUGAUUUAGAGUAUUUGAAAUAUCUAGAAAAUAAAUUUUUUGAUUUUACCAUAUCAUUUGCCUAGUGAACGAAGGGGCUCAAAAUCAACGGCUGAAAAUAAAAAUCUUACAAAAUGUGAUAAUAUGAUAUUAAAAUUUUAAAUCAAAGAUAUUGAUCUUUUUUUAUAUAGUAUAAAGAAUUUUCUAUCAAAAUUUCACGUGAUUUGGAUGUUUCUACACCGUUAAACUUGCAAACGGCUCACUACGGCCAUUGAAAUUUGUUGAUUUUAAGCCCAUUCGAUUACUAGGCAAAUGAUAUCGAAAAAUAAUAAAAUUCAUUUUCUAGAUACUCAAAAUACUCUAGAUCAGAUUUAACGGAGCGAUCACGAUCUCCGAAAGUCGAACAUGAAAACGAGCGGAAGCAGUGGAAGGCUCCGUGCUUCCGAUAGCAUAGUAGCCUCACUCUUAUAUUCGUGCUUCCAGCUCGUUUUCGAUUUGUGGACUUUCAAUCGUCGUGGCUUUCGUUAAAUCUUAGAAUCUAGAGUAUGUGUGAGUAUACUAGAAAAUGAAUUUAUUUUUCGAUAUCAAUUUGCAGUGAAAUCGAAUGGGCUUAAAUCAACAAAUUUAAUGGUUCGUUCAGUGAGCCGUUUUGCGAAGUUUAACGGCUGUAAAACAUCCAAAUCACGUGAAAUUUUGAUAGAAAAUCUUUAACUAUAUAAAAAAAGAUCAAUAAUCUUGAUUUAAAAAUUUUAAUAUCAUAUUAUCACAUUUUGUAAGAUUUUUAUUUCAGUCGUUUGAUUUUGAGGCUCCUUUCGCUUCAUAGGCAAAUGAUAUCGUAAAAUCAAAAACUUUAUUUCUAGAUAUUUCAAAUACUCUAAAUCAAGUUUAACGAGCCGAUCGACGAUUCGAAAGUCGCACAUGAAAAUGAGCUGGAAGUAUGGAAGGCUCUGUACUUUCGAUAGCAUAGUAGCCUCAUUAUAUAUAUAUAUAUAUAUAUAUAAUAUAUAUAUAUAUAUAUAUAUAUAUAUAUAUAUAUAUAUAUAUAUAUAUAUAUAUUAUAUAUGAGUGAUAACAUGUAAUAUAAUAUUUGGAUGAUUGGAGCUCUUUAAUUAAUAGGAUGUGAUUGAUUCACUGCGUUGGCGAAGUUUAAGUGCUCUCUCUCUCUCUCUCUUAAAAAAAAAAUUUUAGAAUGCAACUGGUAUAUUGGUGACAUAGUGUAACAAGCUAAUUAAAUAUUUUUUUUAGAGGUAUAUAUUCCAUCAUGAUUAUAAAAAAAAUAUUUUUAUUAUAUUUUUAUUUAAAAAGAAAAAAAAUAUAAUUAAUUUGUUAUUGUUGACAUGGUAUAAAUGUGACAGUAUAGAAUUCCUCCUCUCGCUCUGAGCCUAACUAUCAUCAACUUUGCAUGACUUAUUCAACACGGGCGUGCAUGGCAUUUAUAUCACGACCUCUAUUCCAUCAUCUCUCACUGAGAAAGACAUUGUUGUGGUCUCAAAACGAGAAUAUUUUAAUUAAUAAAUCUUUUGAAAACACAAAUAUAGGUGGAAACGUGCAUUAAGUUAUUGGCCUUAUAUAAAUUAGGAUAAAAUUCAAAUAUCAUUUUUAUAGUUUUAAUUGUAUCAAUUUAGUAUCCUGUAGUUUUAUUUUUCUUCUUUCGUCAGCUCCCUCCGUUAAUAUUUUGUUAAAUUAUAUAUAAAAAACUUCAGAUAUCCCACCUAAGUUUAUCGAAUAUUUAUUUUAAUAUCAUUUAGUUUUAGCUUUGUCACUAAUUUAAUAAAAAAAAUAGUGGGGGAAAUAAUAAAAAGAGAAAAAGAAACUACGAAGUACUGAAUUGAUAUACUUUAAACCAUAGGAUACUAAAAUAAAAAAAUACGAAAUCACAGUAAUAAUAUUUGAAGUUUUUCCUAUAAAUUAUAAAUCCUUUUGAGUCGACUAUAUAUCAAAUAUUUUAAAAUUUUGGCUUUAUUAUCCCACCUUUCUAUUUGCUUAAUUUAAGUUAGUCAACGACAGUUUAGUUUCAAAAUUUAAACUGAUUACUAAUUUAAUAAAUUUAUAGUAGCUAGAAGUAGAAAGGUGGAACAGUAAAAUUAAAAUUUUGAAAGGCCAAAUAACUGACUUAAAAUCAUCCACAAUCCAUAAUUCAGAUAAAUUUUAUACAUUUUUAUCAAAAAUAUAUAUUUUAAAAUCUAGUCGGACUAUUUCUAAUAGCACAUUAAUAGUACUUAAUACCAAAUUUUCAACUCUUGGAUAUGCAUUUCGCGGUGGGUGCAGUAGUAUUAUUGUAUCUAAAUACUAAAAAGUUGGUUAUAUGUUCUAUUCGUGCGCUAUUGAAAGCAUUAAUUAAAACUGACUCUAUAUUUUUCAACUAUAUAAAACUUUUAUUAUUUUUUUAUAACAUGAUCAUUUAAUUUGCGCACAUUCCAUCAAAUGAACGUGAUUUUUAUGCCACUCAUAUUGAUAUGACCCUUUGGAAUUACAGUUAGAUUGUACUACGUGGACGAUAAAAAAAAAAAUAACGACAAAAAAAUAUUUUAUUUAUUUUCGUACGUAAUUAGUACGUUAGUCAACUUUUUUUUUUUUCUUAAUAUUUGGUGAGUAAAGUUUCAUAUAAAGUUUAAAUACAUUUGGCGGUUCAUAAAAUUGUCCAUUUACUGGUAAUUUUAAAUGAUUAUGUAUUAGAACCAAUGGUGAUGAGUAUCAUAAAAUAAAAUCUAAACAAUUUAAAAUUUAUAGUGAUCAUGUAGUUUAAAUGGAUAUCAUUUUCCAUUUAAUCAAGUAAAAUAUGUGAGUAGUCCCUGCACUAUCCGUAAAUUGCAGUUUGUUCCUUAUGUAUUUAAAAUUGUUUAUGGAGUAAACUACAAUUUGCCCUAUGUGGUUUAACUUUUUUUUUUAAGGCCAAUUUGCAUAAAAAAUUCACUUAUUUUGGGCUUUUGCAAAACCGGGCCAUCUUUUUCGUUUUUGCAAAUUCGGUCCGCUUUUUCAGCAAACUGACUAAAAUACCCUUAUUACUUUUUCUCUUUCUUUUUUCUCUCUCUUCUUCGUUUUUCUCGUUCUUUUUUUUUUCUCGCCGGCAGAGUGGAGGCGGAGCGGAGGCAGAAACGGUCCGUCUCGUCUCUCACCCUCAUUCUCUCGCCCUCGCCCUCGCCCUUGCCCUCGUCCACGCACCCCUCACCUUCCUUGCCUCCAACCCCGCCAAAGCCGCGCCGCGACUUUUUUUUUUUUUUGCUUUUUUCUUUUUUUUUCUUCUCCGACUCUUCUCCACCAUCUCCGACGACGACGCCUCUCUCGUCCUUCCCCACCCUUCUCAUCUCUCCCUCUCUCUCAUUCUCUGUCGCCUCCGACGACGAUGCAUUUUCGCCGGUGCCGACGUCGACACCGUGGAAGUCACUGCGGCGCUACAGGCUCGGAGCGGAGGUCCUUAGCGGCGUCGUCGCUGACACUGUGGCUGUUGGCAGAGAGGGUGACAAAACAAAAUUAUAGAAAAAAAAAAAGAAAAAAGAAAAAUUAAAAAUUCGAGCACUUUAUUUUCUCUUAAUUCUUAACCAUGAAAAGAAAAAAGAAAAAAACUUAAUUUCACUACGAAAGAACAUUUUAAUUAUAUUAUUAUUUAAAAUUUAAUUAUAUUUAACACAAACUAAAGUAAGUUUUGUAAUUGGUGAGGGCUAAUAAUAUUAUUUUAUGACACAAGUUGAUUUUUUUUUUCCUCUUAAUAUUUCGUGAGUGAAGUUUCAUAUAAAGUUUAAAUAUAUUUGGCGGUUCAUAAAAUUGUCCAUUUAAUCGUCAUUUUAAAUGAUAAUGUAUUAGAACCACAGGUGAUCGGUACCAUAAAAUAAAAUCUAAAAUUCAUAGUGAUCACGUAGUUUAAAAUUCACUUUAUAGUAGUUCAUAAAAAUUAUUAAUUUUAAAAUUUAAAAAAUUAGAAAAGUUAAUUUCUAAUAAAAUGACACUAUGUACUCUGCUUGUUUAACGUGCACGUGAGAGUUGGAAAUUAAGGAAAGGGUUUUAUAUGUAAUGUUUUACGCGUGAAGCGAUGGGACCAAAUUGCGAAAUUGGAAUCGGUCGGGGGGCUAAGCUUACAUUUCGCCCUAUUUAUAAGCGCCUCCACACACACAAACGAAAACACGGCGCGUCGGAAGGGAAAAGCACUCCGCCGCUUCCCCCGAUCGCGCGUGUUCCCCCACUUCACCCCCGACGCUCAGAGGAUCGAAUCCCCAAACCCUAACCCUAACCCUAAUUUGUAGUGCGCGUACCUCGGCAUUUGGGUGGGGGGUUGGGGGAUGGAGAUCCUCCGAUCGGGGCGCGUGGUCGUGGCCCUGCUCCUCCUCCGCCUCCGCCACCUCCUCCUCCGCCGAGCGCGGCGCCUCCUCUCGCUCGUGGCGCUCCGCGACGCGCUCCUCUCCCUCCUCUUCCUCCGCCACCACCUCGUCCCCCGCUCCGUCCCCCUCGGCGCCGGCCCCUCCGCCCCGUCGCUCCACCUCUGGAUCCCCUCCCCGCUCCUCCGCCGCCUCCGCCCCCCCCGCCCCGCGCUCGUCCUCGUCCACGGCUUCGGCGGCAACGCCAAGUGGCAGUGGGAGCGCCAGAUCGGGCCCCUCUCCCGCUCCUUCGACCUCUACGUCCCCGAUCUCCUCUUCUUCGGCCGAUCCAAACCCGGAUCUGAAUCGGAAUCGGAAACCCCUGAUUCUCGAUCGGUGGCGGAGCAAGCGAGGUGCGUGGCGGAGGCGAUGGCGCGGCUCGGGGUGGGGCGAUACGCGGUGGUGGGGAUCAGCUACGGGGGGUUCGUGGCGUACAGGUUGGCGGGGGAGGGGGCGGUGGAGAGGGUGGUGAUUUUGUCGGCGGGGGUGUGCGCGGGGGCGGAGGAGAGGGGGGAGCUCGCCCGGAGGGAGGGGAGGGACGUGAGCGAGGUGCUGCUCCCUCAGCGCCCCGAGGACCUGCGCACGCUCCUCCGCCGGUCCAUGCACCGCCCCCCCAAGUGGGUCCCCGACUUCCUCCUCCGCGACUUCAUCCAGGUUCCUAUCGUUACCCUCUCUCCCUUCCAUUCUCGCCGCAGUACAUCUUCUGAAUCUUACGCGCGAAUAUUAAAGCGAACUGAAAGUGAACCGAACUGCAUCAUCCAUAGAACGAUCUCACGUUCAAACGGCAAAGUGCUUGGUGGUUGGUAUUCGAGAUCCAAGUUUGAAUUCUAGUUGAUUCACAUUUUCAGCUAAGUUUAUUUCUAAAUAAAAUAAACGAAGCAGAUAGCGUGCUAUCUAUUUCUCAAAAAAAAAAUCUCACGCUCAAACCUGUUCUAUUUCUUUUAAUUUUUAAAAAAUUUUUUACUUUUGAGCGACUCCUAUUUUUAGUGUCACCUUUUCAUCGUAAUCUUACGGGACCUUCUUCUAAACACUAUUGAAUAGAGUCCAACUAUAGAAUUUUUUUUUUCUCUUUUUAGAAAAAUUUAAAAUACCAUUACUAUAGUUUUGUACUUUUUUAAUUUUUAUCCUCUGAUUUAAAUUGUUAUUUUUUACUAAAAUUUUUUCGUUAAAUUAGUGACAAAAUUAAAACUAAAAAAUACUAAACCGAAUAUUCGAUAAACCUAAGUAAGAUAUCUGGAGUUUUUUUGUAUAUAAUUUAACGAAAUUUUAAUGGAGCAGUUGACGAAAAGAGAAAAAAAUAAAAUUACAGGAUACUAAAUUAAUAUAUUUUAGAUCAUAGGAUACUAAGGUGAGAACGUGCAAAACCACAAUAGUGGUAUUUGAAAUUAACCUUUUUUUUAAGAAUUUCUAAUUUUUAGUAUUAAUAUUAAUUUCCUAAAAAGAUCACUAAACCAUAGGAACAACUAUUAUUUUAAUCUUACAACUUUUUAUUCAAAGGUCAAAAACGCCAAUUUUUUUAAUGCGUUUGGAAGUAUAAAAGCUCUACACAAUAUUAUAUUAGUUUUAUUAUGUUUUUGUUUGAGGGUAAACUUUAAUUCGCUUUGGUUUGACUGCUUAAAAAAUUAUACUUGAUUAUCAUGUGAUUUAACUUAUUUUUAUUUUAUCAUAUUUUAGUUUAAAAAAUAAUAUUUAACUAUAAAUGAUUAUUAAAAAUUUAUUUAUAAUACUAUUUGAUAGUAAAUAUUUUAAGUAAAAAUAAAAAUAAAAAUACAAAAUAUUAAAACGGCAAACUUAAAAAUUUUCUAAAACACAAAAAUAAAUUGAAGUUUAUCCUUUUAUUUAAUACUAAAAUUUUUUUAAAAAUGGAAUAAACCGUAAAAGAGUGAUCGAAGAGCAUGUGAGGAUUCCUUUUCUGUUUUUCCAUUCGUUCAUUUCUGUAGAGUAACCGUAAAUUUUACAUCCAAAUACUGGUUUUUUUUUUUCACUCUUGCAUUUCUGUAGAGUAACCGUAAAUUUUGCAUCCAAAUACCAUAUAUUUACGUCUUAUUAAUUUUUUUUAAUACUAAAUUUUUAAUAAGUAAGUAUUUUUUUUUAAAAAAAAUUACGUAUCUUAAAAUCAGUAAGAUGGAAAAUUUAUAUGUAGCAUUUUUCUUUCCAGGGUGAAGGGAACAAAUUUUCUUCAGAUUUUUGUCUCUCACAAAAUUAUAGUGUCUUUUGUUUUUGUCCCCUCAACACUUUCUCUGCCACUUUCUCCCACGUUCACGAGCUUGUUGUUUUGUUCUCUUCUGCAGCAUGCUUUGUUUCACCGGCGCAGGAUUUUUGUGAGACUGCAGAUAGUUUUAUAUAUAAGAUAUAUUAUGAUUAAAAUUUUUAAUUUGGCUAUAAUAUUUUAGAUGAUGAUUAGAUUCAAAAAUUUGAGAGAGUGCGUGAUAAAAUUAAAGUAGUUUUAGGAUGAAUGAUUUCUUAAAAAGAGACGUCACGGAUGGUAUAUGAGUCAAUUACCUGUCGAAAGUGUGAGAUAAGUCUCGGGUCAGCUUAUAACAGCGGAAAGAGCAAUACUUUCAUUCGGAUGACUAUUGUGGGUAAAGUACGGCUCUCUCACAAGAUCGAUUAUAGGUAGGGAGACAAGUCUCACAUCUAGGACCCCACAAGGUUGGUUAAAGCCAACAAGACGAGUGUCACCUGAUAUUUGUGAAGCGAGGACGUCAAGACUUAAAGAGGAGAGAAUGUGGGAUCCAAAAUAGUUAUAUAUUAAGAUAUAAUAGAAGUAAAACUCUUAAUCCGAUUAUAAUAUUUUGAGCAGUGGUUAGGCCCAAAAACUAAGCGCUCUAAGGCUAGAACAGUUCUAAGAUGAGUGAUUCUUUUUUGUUUGGAUGGGGAUUAAGGGGGUGGAAUAAUCUCUUAACCCCCAUAUUAUUUCCGAACAUCCUCAAAAAUAGGUGGGGUUAGCUAACCCCACCUAACCUGAGAUAGUCCAUUUUGGGUGGGAUUAACUAACCCACCAAACCCCAACCAAAUAUUAUUUUUUAUUCAUAAUAGCCCACUAUUAUUCUUAUCCCACCCUUAGUUAGUUAAUUCGCGUUUAAUACGCGAAUUAUUCGCGUACUCUUUAAUAUACGAAUUAAACGGGGCGUCCCGUAUUUUUUCGAAAAAUUCAAAAAAAACGCGAUUUCUUCGUUAAAAAUAAUUAUUCGCGAUUCGCCAAUAAUUCGCCCAAAAAAUCGGAGACGGCGGUCGCGGACUCGUGGCCGAGUGUAGUGUCGUCGCCGCUCCCGUCGUUCGCCACUCUCGUCACCGCUCGCGUCGUUCGCCGCUCGCGUCGUCAUCGUCCUCCGCAGCCCUCGCCGGCGUCGGGAGCAAGGGCCGCGGCGGCGGAUCCNAUAUAUAUAUAUAUAAUUUUAUUUAUAUAAUAUAUUUAUGUAUUAUAUAUAGCAUUAUAUAUAUAUAUUUUUAUUUAUAAAUAUAUAUUUAUUUAUUUUAUAGAUUAUUUUAUUUUUAUAUAGAAAUAUUUAUAUAAUAUUUUAUUUAUAAAUUUGGUAAUUAUAUAUUUAUAUUUUUAAAUAUAUAAAUCUUAUAUAUUAUUAAUAUAUGUUUAUUAUUAAUAUAUGAAUAUGUUUAAUCUAUAUAUAAAAAUUAUAAUAAUAAUAUAUGUAGUAUAUUAAUUAUUAUAUGUUCAAUAUAUAGCCGAAUUGUUGAUCCCGAAUUUUUAAUUGGUGAACGUAUAAUAUCCGUAUAAAUCACGUAUCCGAAUAAUUGACAAAUCCGUUUUUUAGCCGUAUUUUUCAACGAAUUUAAAAAUUAGAAGACGAAUUUUAUCCGAAUUAUACCCGUACCGAAUUUUUGCCGAAUCCGAAAUAACUAACUAUGAUCCCACCUACUCCAACUAAACUCUAUUUUUUACUAUGCUGAACUAACUCCAACUCCCAAUCAAACACAAAAAAUAUUCUAACCCCAUCUUAAUUCUGAACUUAACCCUAUUCCUGAAAUAACUAGUUUCGGUAAGUAGGGCGUUACAACUUACUGUUUAGUUUAACUAUCUUUUUUUUUUUUUUACCAUUUAAUAUUUUAAUUUAUUUAAUUUGAGUUAGUUUGUGACUAUUUAAUUUUAAAAUUAAAAUAUGUUAUUUAUUUUUUUAUAAAUUUAAUUAAUAUAUUUUAUGUAAUUUAUAUAAAAAAAAUAAUCGGCUUAAAUUUUAUAUUAAACAAAUUACGAAAUAACUUAAAUCAAACAAAUUAAAUGAUUGAAUUCUAAUAUUAAAAUUUUAAAAUAAUGAAUAGUUAAAUUAAAAUAAUUUAUAAUUCUGACAAAUUUUAUAUAUUUUUUAUCCUAAAAAAAUGUGCAAGCUCACUUUUCUUUGAUUACUUAUAUCGAAAUCACCUGGUUAUAUAUAGUAGACCUAGAAUUAUAUUGGGAGUUUGUGGGUUUAAAUCACUAUUUUAGCCAAUAUAUUAUAUUAUUUAUUUACUAUUAAAUAAUAAUAAAAUAUACGACUCACAAGUCACAAGAGGGUCAAUUUCACGCGUUACAUUAUUAAUAAAGGUUUGGUUAUAAUUUCAUUUCCAGUAGCCACGCUUGUAAGCGACUAGAGAGUAAUGUUGGCACUUGGCAGGUCCAGGUCCCUCCACAAAGCAAAGUGCUGAUUUUCUAUUCACUGAUUGAUUAGAUAUAAAUUAUAAAUAAAUAUAUACAUAGUAAUUAGGGAUGCAAACCCGACAGAUUCGGAGGCGGAAGGGUUCAUUUUUUGUCGGAACGGCACAUAUUCAAAACGGAUUAUUUUUUAUUUUAUUUUGCUCUUACUUAUCUCCUCAGGGCGGGAGCGUAUUUUUGACGGAUUGGAACGGAUUGAAGGAAGAAAAGAGUCUCCCGCCUCCCGCUCUAUUUACUUAGCGGAACGGGACGGAUUCAGGACGAGUUAUAUUUUUUUAUAUUUUUUUGUUCCUACUUACUGUCUCAUUCGGGACGGAUUAGGGCGGAAGCUUCACCAAUCCGGAUCCAUUUGAAUCCCUAGUAAUAAUAUAGGUAAAAAUAUUUACAAUUAUUAUUUUAUAUAUUUUAUUUAAUUAAAUAUAAUACUUUGCAUUAUAGUUACAAAUAAUUUAUUUUAUAAAUAAUAAUUUAUUUGAUUUUAUAUAAUUGAAAUUUUAUUUAUAAAUAUAUUGUCUUGGACGACCACUCCCAACAUAUAAAAAAUUUUAUUUUUGGCGGUGGAUGGUGGUAUCAACUUCACUAUUAUAUUUAGUACUAUCAUUAUUUUAUAGAUAAAAAAGUGGGACAUUUAUUUAAAGUGCAGAUCAUUUUGAAUCGACUAUUCAAAUUUUUAAAAUUUUAAAUUUUACUAUAUAAUAUUUUAAUUUUUUGAUUUGAGUCGGCCGAUAAUACCUUUAUUUUAAAAUUUAAAUACGUUGUUUAUUUUUACAAGUUUAGUUAAUAUAUUUCAUCCAAUUCUCGUAAUUAUUAAUUAAUUUAUUAAAGUAAGUAGUUUGUUUAUAUUAAACUUUAUAUUUUGAUGUCAAAGUAUUAUCAAUUAACUCAAAUCAAACAAAUUAAAAGAUUGGAUAGCAAAAAUAAAAUUUUCAAAAGUUGGAUAACAGAUUCAAAAUGAUUUACAAUUUUUAUUAGUUCUAUACAUUUUUAACUAUUUUAUAUUAUAGUUUAUACUAAUAAUAUUUUAUAUUUUAAUAUGAUAUAGUUUUAAAUAAUAAAAAAAUAAGUGUUUGGUUGGACGUAUGGGUUGCCACGACAACUGUGGGAGUUGUCCGCCAGCUGUGGCUUUAAGAUUCGGAUCAAUGAUCUUAAACUACUAUUUUUUUAUAUAUUAUUUGCAAUCUAACGUAAGUUGCUAGAUGGAAAUAAUAUUAUAUUUCUUAUUUAUUUUUGUUGUCCCCCUCGCUUAAUUUAGUAGGGAUGUCAACGCUCGGAUUCGGUGCAAAAUCUGAAUCUGAACCCGAAAUUCAAACUUGAACCCGAAAUUGAUAAAUUUUAAACAUUUAUAUCCUAAUCCGAAUCCGACCAAAAAUUCAAAAUUUAAAUUUAAAAUAAUUAUUUUUGCUUUACUAUAUUUUAAAAUAUAUCAUAUUAAAAGUUAAAAUUUUAAAAUAGAAAUUUGAGUACUGUAUUAAAUGUUCAUAUAUAUUAUAUAAUAUAAAAUCUAUUCGGAUUUGCGUCAAGUUCAGGUUUGGAUUAGAUAUAUGCAAAAUUUAUAUUCGAACUUGAAUAUGUUAGAUUUUUUUUUUUUAUAUUCAUAUUCUAAAUUAUAUCUGUUUAGCAUUCAGUAUAUUUAGCUUGAUUAGAUUUGGAUUUAGAUUUGAAUUCGUAUAUAUUUUGGGUAUCCGCACUCAUCGGCAUUCCUACUGUUUGACCAUUAUGGUUGAAAAGUAGAAUAAAAAUAAUAAUAAUAAAUUUUACUUUAACUAAGUCUAGCCCAGCCAAACACAGUAGAACUAGUAGAAAAUAAAUAAAUAAAUAAAGUUCUCAUUAAGAAUAAUAUUCAACCGUUUCCGAAAUAGGGAUUUUAUUUAAUCCAGUACUAUCUAAAUAAUAAUCAUAUUAAAAAAUAUAUUUUUAUUACAAUUUAUAAUUUGCACGUUGGAAAUUCUUUCGCACGAUCAUUAGGAAUAAAUAUAUUUAUUAUGUCCGGAUCUGAUUCGGAUGUGAAUUACGUACAAACAACGUAUUGUAUUCGGAUUUGGAUCCAAUUGAAAAUUGGGUCUUGAUUUUACGCUAAUAUUAACAAAAUCAAUGGGUUAAUUGCAUAAAAUGUAGUAAAUUGCGAAUAUAUUUCUAUAAGUUUAACUUUUACAUGUUAUCCCUAUAAAAAUCUUAAUGUUUUUAAAUAUGUCCCUGUCGUUAGAAUCCGUUAGAAAAAUUUAGUUAACGAUAGGUUAAAUACUUAAACAUUGUUAAUUAAUAAGGUGAAUUAACUUUUUUACUCCUCUUGAAUUAACAGUUGGAAUAUAUUUGUGAUAGUAAGAUGGUACUUAUAAAAUAAACAAUACUUUAACGGUAACAAAUUAGAAAAAUAUAUUUGAAAUCAUUAAAAUUUUUACAAUGACAAUAUAUAAAAGUUGAACUUUAUAGGAAUAUAUUUGUAAUUCACUAUAUUUGUAGGGAUCUGUAUGAAAUUAACCCUUAAAGAUUUUAUUACGUAACUUUUCAAUUUAUUUGAUUUUAAAUAAGGUAAUAAUAUUUUGACUUCAAAAUGCAAGAUAAUUAUUUGUUUCAAUAAAUUUAUAAUUAUGAGAAUUGUAUAAAAUAUAUUAACUUAUCUGUAAAAAUAAAUGCCACAUUCAAAUUUUAAACUCAAAGUACCGUUGAUUGGCUGAAAUCAAACAAACUGAAAAGUUAGACGGUGAAAUCAAAAUUGUGAAAGGUUGAAUAGCCAAACCAAGUCUAUAGUUCAAAUAAAUUAUAUAUAUUUUUACCUUUAAACUAUAUGUAUAGCGUAAAAUCAAAUUGGCUCAUUGACUCGGUUUAUUUGAGUUUUUAUGUUUAGGCCCGGCUUUUGGAUCGCAUGCUGCUGCCCCAACGAAGGCCAAGUGCACUUUUUAUUUAUUUAUUUAUUUAGUUAUUUAUUAUUUUUUAAAAUAUUUUUGUUUUUGUUUGUUUUGUGGUUUUUUUGUUUUUUUUUGUUUUUACUGAGAAGCCCCUAUGUGUCGAUUGAUACAACAGGGGACCACUUACAUAAGUGCCACAUUGUAGGCCUUCUCGUUUCGUCUCGCUUUCUCGUUUUCAUAUCAGGGAAUCAUUGAGUUUUCGUCCCGAUCCGUAAACGGUAAGUUAAAAAAAAUAGUAGAAAAAUAAGUAGAAAAAUAAUUCAUCCUGAAACUGUUCUGAUCCACCAUGUAACUGGAGCAGGAGGUAGGAGACAGAAAAUUUUUUCUUUUUUUUGAUUUGCUUUCGUCCCGAUCCACCCUAAAUGAAGCAAUAACUAGGAAUCAAAAAUGAAAAUAAAGGAAAACUUCAAAAAACCCUCGUGUGGUUUCGCACUUUUUUAUUUUAGUAUCCUGUGGUUUAAAAUAUAUCAAGUUAGUACCAUGUAGUUUCUCACUUUAUCAUUUUAGUACCCAGUGGUUUAAAAUGUAUCAAGUUAGUACUCUGUGGUUUUAUUUUUGUAUCAAGUUAGUACGUUGUGGUUUUAUUUUUAUAUCAAGUUAGUACUCUGUGGUUUUAAACCAUAGGAUACUAAAGUGAUAAAGUGCGAAACUACAGAGUACUAACUUGAUACACUUUAAAUCAUAAAUUACUAAAGUGAUAAAGUGAGAAACCACAGGAUACUAAUUUAAUACACUUUAAACCACAAAAUACUAAAGUGAAAAAAAUAAAACCACAAUAAAGAUAUUUGAAGUUUUUCCUAAAAAUAAAAUUAACACGUCCUGAAUUCAUGCCGACACAAAAAACGGAGAGACAGAUGCAGGAACUCUCCUGCACCCAGACCCACCCUUUCUCUUUUUUUUUUUCUUUUUUUUGAGAAACAGACCCACCCUUUUUUGCAUCCUUAUGUGUGUGGAUGUUGCAUCAUGCAUGUAGUGAAGCGGCCGUUAGUAUCUGUCGGGUAGGAGGAAAAAGCAUCAACACUGUUCUGCGCUGGCACGAUUUUUGGAAUGGGAUGGGAUGUACCAUUAAAAUUGAGUGCCCAUUUUGCUUACUUUUUUUUUUUUUUUUUUUUUUUUUGCCUUUUUUAAGUAGAAGUACCCAAGAAAUUUUCAUUCAUAAAUAGAGCGUGAACACGUCACGUGACGUGGCUUUCGAGAGAAAUAGAUUCAAUGCUACCUCUAUUUUUAUGCAAAUUCAAUGGUAGAUUAUUAGUAAAAAUUUGGAAGUUUCUACUAUGAAGCUUCAGAGAGAGAGCUUUUUUCCUAUGCUUUAUAUAUGUAGAGAGUCCGUGGCUGCUAUGCUUCAAUAGCACACUAAACAUUUUUCCUCUCUCUCUCUCUAUUAUAUAUAAUAUAUAUAUACUUUAUAUUAUAUAUAUAUAUAUAUAUAUAUAUUUAGAGAGAAGAGAGGGAGAGAGAGAGAAGAGAGCGGCUAGGAUGUUAUUAGAAGCACGGAGGGCUCCGUACUUUCACUUUGUUUUCGAUGUUCGGAUUUCGAAUCGACGAUCGGCUCCGUUAGACUUUGAUCUAGAGUAUUUGAAGUAUUUGAAAAUAAAAAUUUGCGAUUUUUCGAAUAUCAUUUACGUAGUGAUCGAAGUGCUCAAAAUCAACGGCUGAAAAUAAAAAUCUUAUAAAAUAUGAUGAUAUGGCAUUAAAAUUUUAGAUCAAAGUUAUUCAUCUUUGUUUUAUAUGGUAUAUAAGAAUUUUCUAUCAAAAUAUUCAUAUGAUUUGGAUAUUUCUACAUCGUUAAACUUGCAACGGCUCACCACGGCCGUUAAAAUUAUUGAUUUUGAGCCCUUCGAUUAUUAGGCAAAUGAUAUCGAAAAAUCGCAAAAUUAUUUUCUAGGUACUUCAAAUACUCUUAGAUCAACUCUAACGGAGCGAUCGUCGAUUCGAAAGUGCGAACAUCAAAAACGACUUAGAAGCACGGAGAGCCUCCGUGCUUCCAUAAGCAUACCAGCACAAUUCUAUAUAUAUAUAUAUAUAUAUAUAUAUGAGUUCGGCUACUAUGCUAUCAAUACUACCAAGCAUUUGGUGCUACUAAAUUUUCAACUGUUAAAUUUAUUCUUUGAUCAUUUUUAUCUCUUAGAUCAUACUAUUUUACCACCCACUCACUCACCCACCAAAUCCUAAGGAACUACUAUCAUCCUAACUGUACAUCCCUUCAUCCAAGAGUCAAAAAUCUAAUAGUACCAAUGACAUCAUGCUAUUAAUAGUACAGUAGCUUAGUUUUAUUGUUUUUAUAUAUUAUUGAAGUGUUGACAUCUGUGAUGGAGGUUUUUGAUAGACUCGUAUUCGCACUCCAAACUACUAUACAAAAUUACCAUACAUUAAUAAUACAUAAGGCAAUAUUAUGGGAGAUCUGUAAUGGUAUUUGUAAAGAGAAUUUAUUAUAGUAAUUUUUGACGUAACAUAUCUUGUUAAUGAAAUUAUUCAAAUAGUACUUUAUCAAAUAAUACUAUGUAUUAGAGCUGAGCAAAAAGGUUCUGAACACUUCUUAUCGGGGCUUUUCCUACUGUAUUUCUAAGUCUACUCGGGCUUCAUGAGAUUGUAUUUUGAUUCCCUACAGCCCAUAUUCAAGUAUAUGCAUAUAUAUUUUUUAUUUUUAAAAUAGUUUGCAUGCAUUUUUUUUUUUCCCUUUUUGAAGCAGGGUUUGGACCUACUACCUCAUAACCCGGCAAAAAGAAUACCAAUCAACUGCUCUAAAUAGCAGUGGUUUAGCCAUUUGAUUAUUUGAACAAGCUCUAAGUAUAUGGAUGGGAGCAGCAGUGGUGCUAAGAUUCCCCAUUUAGGUUUCUGUCAUGGUGGCAUAGUGCACAUUUAUAAUUCACUUUAGUUAUAAUGCAGAAAAAAUAAAAAAUAUGUUUUUUUUUUCAAUAAGUUUUAAUCAUUAUCCAACAUUAUAUGUUUUAUAGUUGAUACACGUUUUUCUUAAUGGCCUUAGCCUGGCAAAUAAUUAUAAGGCGACAAACCAAGCAUCAAGCCAACUUUGGCGAUGUCAGAGUCAUUAGAUUGCUAAUCUAUAGGAACAAUCUUGCGCAAGGUUUCAAAUUUAACCCAUGAUCUUGCAACAAAUUUCAUGAACAACUAUUUGUCUUUAAAAGUUUAAGCUAUCAGAGAAUGAUAUUUUUAUAUCUAUAUUCAACUUUUUUCUUCACGUCUAGUUUUGAGACUUUACGUCUAUACUUGAAAUAAAUAAGAGAAAAUUAAAAGCAGGUAGAUACUUAAUGGAAUUUUGUAAAAUUUACAUUAGACCAUUUCAAUUUAAAAUAGAAAACAAAUUAGGAAAUCUGAAAAGCUAAAAGUCCAUGCAAUAUUACCUUUUUAAGUAUGACGAUCGUGUUAGUUUCCUAUUUGGAUGUUGAAUGCUGAUGCAAUAAUUGCUACGUUGUCCCUUUUGUCGGCAAUUUGGUGGGUCGUCUGGACGGAUAGAAACAACUCCACUUUCCGAGCAGCACCCCUUGACGCUACCCGGUCUCUGACUCGUGUUAAUCUAUUAACGAAGGCUUAGAACGAGCUACUAUGAUCUAUUUUUAGUUUUCUACUUUUUACUUUUCUCUUUUCUCUGCUUUCUCCCUCUUCCCCUUUCUUUUUUCGCUUCCUCUUACUAUAUAUAUAUAUUUUUACUUGUUUUCGAAGGCCGAAGCUGCUUCCACUUUGUAUGCCUAGUUCAUUUUGCUUAAUGAAUGAAGCAGGUAACUCGCUACCUAUUUCUCAAAAAAAAUAAUAAUAAUAAUAAUUACUACGAUGUUGCAGGUAAUGUAUUUGGAUCAGAGGAAGGAGAGGGUGGAACUAUUGAAAGAAUUGCUUGAAAAAGGAACCGGCAUGGACCCCCUCCCAGUUCUUACUCAGGUAACAGUUUAUAUAUAUUUGCUUUUUCAAGUGAAUAUUUUACAUACUAAAGAACCAAAGAAAUAGAAAAGAUUAAUUCCUAAUUCUUAGAUCAACUACUCUGGUAUGAGCCAAAAAUUUCAAUUCUGUUGCAUGCACCUUCAUCUUGUUAGUUAACCAUGUUGCAAUUCUUGCUUCAUAAUCUUUUUUUCGGUUAAACGGCUGUCAAUCUUUAGUUACGUUCUUGUUUUGCCUAGCUAGAGCGCCUAUAAAAGUACUAUCUGAGUAGAGUAAUUCGAAUAAGCAAUAGCAGCUUUUAUUAUUGAAAUAUCCCAACAGCAUUCUGCUGAGAUAGAAGCAAGAAAUUCAAAUUGGUGACUUCGCUUUUAGAGCCAAAAGCUCCAGAUAAUUUUUUUUUUCCGAAUGCAUCAUUGCUUUUUCUUCCUUUUGGUUUUUAGGGCAAAGAACCUACUCUAGUUUUUUUUUAAAAAAAAGAAGCCAAAGAGGCAUAAAAAUUAACUUCAUAAAUUAUGACUUACUAAUGUUUUGUUGUGGUUGUUACUCAUCCUAAUCUUAAUUACAUGCAUACAUUCGUAUGAUAUUUGACUCGAAAAAGGACUUCAUAUUAGAUAAGUGAGCAGCUACAAGGAGUUUAACUAUCUUUGUUAUAUAUUCUGUGUUUUAGGAUUGUAUGAUACUAGAAACUUUACUAUUAGAGAAUCAAGACUCAGCUUAGAGAAAUUUCCGCUAUCUUUUCUAUAUUUCUUGAUUUUAAUUGCACUUCAGGAAGAAAAUAUAUCCAUUUACUACCAAGAAAGUUGCUGCAGUGUAAUUAUACUGCUUCUUGGGAUAUCACAUUUUGUUCGAAUUCUAAAUGAACUCUUGUAUUCAAAAACCAACAAAAAAAGAAAUUUAAAUGAAAAAGAGAAAACUAUCUAUUUUGCUUUUUCUCGGAGCACCUCAAUUCUCAUAUUUAGAAUGCUGAAUAGCAGUUAUCUGCUUUGUUUCUCCAGGAAACUUUGAUCCUUUGGGGUGAUCAAGAUCGCGUGUUUCCACUCAAUCUCGCUCACAAAUUACAAAAGUAUGUGUUGUUCUCUCUGUUCUCUUGAACUAAUCUCCUAACUCACAAAAAUGCCCACUGUUAGUGUUUUUUUUCUUUUCUUUUUUGAAAAAAUCUUACUACUUAAUCAGUUAGAUUUAUUGUAAGAUUAUUGAGCUUUAGUAGAUACUUGUUUAAUUAUCAAUGACAAACUACAUCAAUAUUGAGGGGGUUUAGUGUACAUAUUUUUAAAACUAGGAGGGAAAAGAAUCAUAAUUGCGAAAAUGUCAGAGGAUUUUUGCAAUUCAGUCCAUAAAAAAGCCAUUUUUUUAAAAAACCUUAAACUCAUCGAUUCUUACUCUUCAAACAGGCAUUUGGGGGAGAAGUCGAGGUUAGAGAUAAUCAAAGACGCCGGACACGCGCUGCAGUUGGAAAAAGCUGCUCAAGUUAACCGCCUUAUCGAGCAGUUCCUUCUGGAUGCGAACAAUUGCAGAUCAGCUUAAUCCUGCAGUACUUUUUUUUUAUCUAACCUGUGCAAUACAUUAAUAUUUAUCAAAAUUAGAGAAGCUCUUUUCUCUUCUGCAUGUACACCCCUGCAAAUACACGAAUUUGUGUAAAAAUCCCUAUGAAAUUGGUAUCUGCAUGCCUUUUCUGAAAUGAUAUUUAUGCAAUUUCACAUAUUUGUUGGGGUUUAUUAGAAUUUAGCGGGGAAAGGACCAUUAAGUGUAUCCGCCCCGCAAUGUAGCAGUGUCAAUUAUGCAUGUAGAUUUUAUUAGCUAUUCACAUGUAAUUUGAGAAGAUCAAUGAAAAGUUUCAUCAAAAAAUGUUGCAGCGUAGGUUUCAAUUUUUUUCUUGCGAAUAAUAGAUAAAAAAUCUCCAAUUCCCACCACCCUCAAAUCCAAAUCCAAUUGGUCCAAAAACCCUAACCCAACUUUCAAAUUUGAAACCCUCCAACGGUCGACUCAUGCCCCAACCCCUCCCGCCACAUUUCUCCCGCCAAACCCCCUCCUCCUCCUCCCACUCCCUCCCCUUCUACUACACCUCCCUCCUAAACUCCAUCUCCUCCCUCCAUUCCCUCAAACUCCUCCACGCUCGCAUCCUCACCGACGGCCUCUCCCGCCGCCUCUCCCUAACCACCAAACUCCUCUCUCUCGCCGCCCUCCUCUCCCCCACCAUGCGCUACGCCCGCCAACUGUUCGACGAUUCCCCCCACAGAGACUCCUUCAUGUACAACACCCUCAUCCGCGGCUACACCGACGUCGGCCCCUGCGACCAGGUCCCCCUGCUCUAUAAAACCAUGCACGGCAUCGGCCUCUCGCCCGAUUGCUUCACUUUCCCCUUUGUGAUCCGCGCCUGCGCGGUGCUCUCGGCGGUUCGAGAGGGGAAGGAGGCGCAUUGCAACGCGAUUAAGCACGGGUUCGAUCGGAACCACUUCGUGCAGAGCGGUUUGGUCACUAUGUACUCUCAGAGUGGAGAGGUUCCCGAUUCGGAGCUGGUUUUCGGCGAGAUGGGGUUUAAAAAUGUCGUUUCUUGGACCGCCAUGAUUGCCGCGUACGCUCAAAACUGCCUUUUUGGGAAGGCGUCAGGCUUGUUUCGGUCUAUGGUUGCUUCGGGCACACGGCCUAACGAGGUCACGCUUGUGAGUUUUCUCCCUGUGUUGAAAGGAUUGGAAGGAUUGUAUUCAGGGGAAUCGAUUCAUGGGUUUGCAAUUAAAUUGGGAUUAGAUUCUUAUGUUUCCAUGAUGAAUGCGUUGAUCGCAAUGCAUGGCAAAUGCGGGAGUAUUGAGAUUGCACGGUCCCUGUUCGACGGAAUGUCUGUGAGAAGUUUGGUUUCGUGGAACACCAUGGUAGCAUUGUACGAGCAAAGCGGCGAUGGGACUAGGGCGAUCAAGCUCUUCCGAACGAUGCUUACGGAGAAGGUGAAGUUCAACUCCGUGACAUUGGUUAGCGUGCUUUCCGCUUGCGCUUCUUCGGGAGCUCUCGACACUGGAAAAUGGCUUCACGAGCUCGCGAGGAAAAAUGGGCUAGAAGCCGAUGUGAGAGUCGGUAAUGUGUUAAUCGACAUGUAUUCGAAAUGUGGGAAGUUGGACUUAGCUAGAGAGGCCUUCGAUAACCUUAGAUCGAGAAGCGUGGUCUCGUAUAGUGCUAUGGUAAGAGCCUAUGCUUCUCAUGGGCUUCCGCGGGAAGCACUGAAACUCUUCUCACAGAUGAAAGCGGAAGGGGUGAGGCCGAACACGUUCACUUUCACUUCGGUGUUAGCGGCUUGUAGCCACUCGGGUCUCGUAGAAGAAGGCCUAAAGCAUUUCUAUAGCAUGAGAAAGGAGUAUGGUAUCACUCCAACAAUGGAGCACUGUACUUGCAUUGUGGACAUGUUGGGCCGCGCAGCGAGAUUGGUCGAAGCCUACGAGUUCGUAAAAUGUAUGCCUAUCGAGCCCGACACGGGUGUUUGGGGGGCAUUUCUGGGUGCUUGUAGAAUCCAUGGGGAGCUCGAGAUGGCCGAUUCCGUGGCAAAAGAGCUCUUCCGGUCGGGUUAUAAUGACGUGACCUUUUAUGUAAUUUUGUCGAACAUGUACGCGGAGAAUGGCAGGUGGGAAGAUGCAGAGAAGUUGAGGAAGAUGAUGGAGGAAAUGGAGUUGAAGAAGAUCGCGGGAUGUAGCUUGGUUGGUAUAGAGAGGAAGCCUCAAAAUGCUCCGAUUACAAGAUAACAGAAGAGUUGUUUGAGAAAGUAUUGAUUAAAAUCCUCUUGAUAGCUUCACGCUACAGCAGAAGCAGGAGCAAAAGGUUUAGAUCGAAGAUACUACUUUUGAGGCUCAGAAGCUCAUUCACCUUUGUGUAUCAACAGAAGUCCUGGAAUUCCUGUUCUACCAAGUGCUUCAUGGCUAAGGUUCGCCUUUUCGGAGUCGCUGUUAAGAUAGAGGUCUCUCUUUUUGUAGUGAUAAGUUCCGAAGCUCUUAGCUUUUAGUGUGAUAUAUAUAAAUUUAGUCCCUGAACUUGAAAACAAAUUUCAAAAUUUUUGAUGGGAUUUUAAUUUCACCCACAAAGUUUCAUCUUUUCCAUAUUAUUAUCCUUACCAUUCCAAACUUAAAUGUUAUGCAGAGCAGAUUUUAGGGACUUAAGUCAUCAUCUUAAUUAAACUAUAAGUACGAAAUCGAAACCAAAGGAACUGAAUUCGUAAUUACCGAUUAUACAUAAAACUAGAAUUACAGUUUGUAACAGCACAGAUUGAGAGAUUAGUAAUUUUGCAUCUGUUUCCAAAUAAACAUGCUCCUUCCAACACAAGACACUAAAAAAGAAAAGAAAACCAAAAACUCCAGUUGAAGUGUGUGUAGAAUAAUACCUUUGAGAAUGAAACACAUACAUGACACUUUAAAGAGUUGCUCAUUCUCGAGAAGCAGAUUGGAAGAUGAAGAAUGCUGCGAGAACUCCGACCAACGCCGUAACCGCCAACGCUAGAGUAGGUAACGGUGCCGUGAACCCGAAAUUCUGUAGAACACAUUUGAUUAACUCACGAGCCGAUGGCGGAAGCAUCGGUGUAGCGAUUAAGAAAUUAAAGAUACUGCAGCGAGGAAAACUUUGGGGUACCGAUAUAAUAUUGGAGAGAAGUAUCAAAUCGUGAUGAAUUGAUUAAACUGUAAGUUCGAAUCGACUAUUAGAUACGCUAAAAUGAGUGAUCGAGAAAUGCUUAACCUCACAAGAACAGAACAAAAUGAAAUCACCAGAUAUUGCUCGAGAUGGAAAACAUGACUAAUCAAGUAACAGGUAUAAGAAUCACUCCAACAGUGGAAAGCAAGAGACUAGUAAUUAAGUGAUGGUUCGCACGGAAGAAAAUCUCUGGCAGUGAGAAACUACUAUCGAGGAUUGUAAGGUAAUGAGAAUGCUAAUCCUUCUCCGUUUUUUUACUUUUGCUCUACUUUUAACUGAAUAGAAACAGCUUCGUGAAAAGUGCAGCGAGUAAACUUAGUUCUUUCCCGCUGCAAAAGUGAAAGCAAAAGUGGAUCUCGAACUUGUUUCGACAGCAGCGAACAUACUAGAAAGCCUAGAAAGGCUACUCAACUCAAAGGUUCCCCUGGGCCCAAAAUUGUCGAGAACUUUCGUUUCAAUGCAAAAUAAAAAAAAAAAUGUCAAGACACUUGUAGGUGCAACAACUUUAUAACUCAGUUAUGGUGAGGUCCUAGAUUUCACUCACUUAGGAAACAUAUUUGGGAAUCAAUACUCAAUAAGGAGUUAUGCUUGAAAUGUCUUUAGUCUGAUAAUAUGUGAACAAAGCUUCUGCGCAAAAAUAAGAUGCUGUAUUCAAAUGCACCAUUUGGCAACUGAACAAACAUGGUAAGUAUGUCGAGAUGCGCUGAACGAUUAUAUAUCAAACAAUGUGAAUCUUCUUUUCCAUAGUUAGAUGGGGCGGUCAAGUAAAUGAAGGAUAAUGAAAACUCACCAGUUGUUUUGUAAAUAAAGGAUUUAAGUUCUUCCAUUUUUUAUUCCAUUUCAUAAUAUGCAUCCAAAGGAUUCAACGCUCGAAAUGGCCAUUCGCUGAAUCAGAAGGGAAAAAAAAAAAAAAAAACAGUAGUAUCUCAAAGAGAUGUACCUCUAGUAGACCUUUCCCGGUGCUUAUUUCGACAGUUAUUGCAGUCGCGAACCCAACCAUUGCGAGACGACCAAGCCACACAUCCAAACCAUUAUCCUGCUUCGCGCCCUGCUCACACCUUAUGGAAAUAGAUGCCGCCCGAGAUUCAAUUUUCCUUUUGGUCAAAGUAAUCCAAAAGACUGCAUAUAAACAUACAGAAGAAUCACUACAGAUCAAAACAAAGUAGAACGAUAUAAAAAGGGUAAAGAUUACAGCGGAACCACCUAAGGUGGAAACAAAGAUAAAAGGGUCCAAAGUUUUAGGAUGAGUGUUUAAUUCACUUGCGAAAGUACAAGAAAGAAGUAUAAAGAACCUGCAUAUUAUUUCAAACUAGAGUAUUUCAUGGUUUAAUUAGAUUGACAACAAUAAAUUCUCGGUAUAGCUACUACAAUAUUCAAUUAUCAAUUGUUAUGAACAAAAGCAUGAACUUCGUGCUAAAUAAACUCUACCUCUAGUCGCACUAUUUAUUCGAUAGUCAAGGUCACACAGAGGCUCAGUUUGGGAUUGCGAAAAAAGUAUAUUACAUGCAGUAAUGAGGUACAACAUAGUACCGUUUGUUUCCAUACGUAAUGUUAUGUUAUGCAUACCAAAAUAAGUUGGUUAUGAUAUAUUUUUUAUGGUCCCAUCGGAAAAUAGAGAAGCAUGUCUCUUUCGCCCCAACUCCGUUUUGCCUAAUAGCGCUAGAUGGUCCUCAAUCCCAAACACACAGCUACUCGCCUAAUUUAAGACUAAAGAUUCUACAAAGAACACUAUUAAUGGUAUCAAAAUUUAGCUAAUAAAACCGCUUUUAUAAUUCCUUAACUAAAUAUCUUUAAUAUCAUUCAUAGUUAGAACAGAUACCCCCAAAUAUAAUGGGAAAAUUCAGAAGGAAAAAAAAAAAAAAAAGAACCUAAAACAGCUAAGCACAGUACCAGAUCACAUCCAAAACACCAAAAUUCUCAGCAAAAAUUGAGUUUUUCAGCUCGGAAAACUUAAAUUACACGACAGAAAAAGUACAAUUUUCACCUGAAGAACAGCAAAAAUAAAAUAAUAAAACAGCAAAAUCAGCUAUCUUAGGUAUCAAAUCGACACCCAAACCACAAAAACGCUACAAAAAAAUUUAAAAAAAUCGAGUUUUUAGCUUGAAAAACGUAAUUACACAACAUAAAGGUAACAUUUUUAACUGAAAUUACUAAGAAUUCCAGUUAAAAUUGAAGAAAAUGAGAACAAAAAGAAGAAAAAAAAAAUUAGGGAAGAGGAUUACCAUGGGGAGAGCCACUCUUAAAGGUCCCAGCGAGAGUGGAAAACGUGGGGCGGGGCCUUGGAGAAGCGCCAUGCUUGGUGGGUUUCGCCACAGCGUUCGCUACAAUCAAAGAGAGAGAGAAGAGAGAGAGAGAGAGAGAGAGAGAGAGAAGAGAGAGAAAGGAGUUAAUGGGAGUGGAGAGAGAGAGAGAGAGAGAGAGAGAGAGAGAGAGAUACUUGGGAGAGAGAAGGGGCGGAGGAGAGCUUGUUGGGCCAUGGAGAAGAAGCAGCAGCAGCAGCAGCAGCAGAAGCUUCAGAUUUGUGGGUUUGUUUGAUGCUUCGAAUUUUGUGGGAGAAAUGGGAGGAGACGCACGUGAGUUUAUUUCUUAUCCUUAACCCUCUCUCUCUCUCUCUCUCUCUCUCUCUAGAAGAAAAGGCUCUCUCUCUCUAGGAGAAAGAUUGAGACUGGGUGGUGAGUGAUGGAUAUUCUGAUAUUCUCAGCUUACUCACCAACAAUAGUAAACAAAAAUUUCACGAGAACAGUUACCAUCGUAGGCCCCUUUCAUCCAACACAAGAAUGCAAUGCAAUUCAUAAAUAAAAUUUGUUGAUGAGUCAUUAAUUUAUUAAAAAGCUAAAUCAAUUACUAUCUGACAUGGCAUCAGUAGGCAGUAAGUGGUAGCCAAGCCAUUGCUCUUUUCUCAAUGGCUGUCAGUCACUAAUCCAUUCACACAAGACCUGUGCAGUAGCAGCACAGGCCUUUGGUUCAGGAUUGUGAUUCUCAUGCUGUCUAGCUCUGCUCCAACAAAGUUUUUUUUUUUUUUUUUUUUUUUUUUUUUUUUUUUUUUUUUUUUUUUUUUUUUUUUUUU
rnacentral:lncRNA from 1 species